rnacentral:rRNA from 1 species
UACGUAGGCACCAAGCGUUGUCCGGAUUUAUUGGGCGUAAAGAGCUCGUAGGCGGUUCGGUAAGUCGGGUGUGAAAACUCUGGGCUCAACCCAGAGCCGCCACCCGAUACUGCUGUGACUCGAGUGCGGUAGGGGAGCGGGGAAUUCCUGGUGUAGCGGUGAAAUGCGCAGAUAUCAGGAGGAACACCAGUGGCGAAGGCGGCACUCUGGGCCGAUACUGACACUGAGGAGCGAAAGCGUGGGGAGCGAACAGG